rnacentral:piRNA from 1 species
UUCUUUAAAGAAGGAAAAUGCUGAGG